GACGUAGGAUGCAAGCGUUGUCCGGAUUUAUUGGGCGUAAAGAGUUCGUAGGUGGUUUGUUAAGUCUGAUGUUAAAGACCGAGGCUCAACCUCGGGACUGCAUUGGAUACUGGCAGACUGGAGUAUGGUAGAGGUCAGUGGAAUUCCCAGUGUAGCGGUGAAAUGCGUAGAUAUUGGGAAGAACACCGGUGGCGUAAGCGACUGACUGGGCCAUAACUGACACUGAGGAACGAAAGCCAGGGGAGCGAAUGGG
rnacentral:rRNA from 1 species